UGUGCUUCUGUCGGGAUAUUUGCUUAUUUGAUAUUCACGAGUAAAUAUCAGGUAACAUAUGUCGUUUAUAGUUUAUUCAAAUCUAACCGCAUACGUAACUAUAUUCAAAAAUACCCACAUUCCUGUUGUUUAAUCUAACAUCUGGAAAGUAAGGUUUUGAAGAUAUAUAAGACGUAAUGUCGAAGUACUAAACUAUUGUUCCUAAUCUUGUUACAGCGCAAUUAUAUAAAGCAAAAGGUGACCUUCAAUAAACUUCAAGGAACUUCAAAGCAAAUUUAGUACCAGAUACUCGAAGCAUGGAUACAAGAGGAGCGCUCGUAUUUUUUAUAAUCGCAUUGACGAUGACGAACUGUGCUGAUGCGUGGUGGUAUAAGCCAUUUACCGGAAAGCAUACACCAGCUCUUACUGCAAAAAGCAGUGUCUCUCAUGACAUCAGCAUGGAUGAUGCAAUUGAAAGAUUCGCAGAUUUUCUUGAAGCAAGUGAUAUGGAAGAAAACGAAUAAGAUGCAAUCAGCUUAUCAUGAUGAAGACAAAAUACAUCUUCGUGCUAAUAUAUAAAUGUGUAAUAAAAAAAUAAUAAAAAUAUGA